rnacentral:tRNA from 1 species
GCGCUGGGCCGGCAGGGCGGCGAGCUGCGCCGCGUUGUCGGCGGAGCGCCGCUCGAUCGUGCCGAGCUCCGCCGUG